rnacentral:lncRNA from 1 species
GAAACUGGUCUCUGGGGGUUGGACUUGGAUGCUCCCCUGGAGUUCUGAUCUAUACUCACUGUGUUGAAUGAGAGCUACCUGACUAUGGUUGCUAUUAGACCCUCAACUCUUAGCUCACAUUAGAAACACCUGGAGGGCUCGUGAAACCCACUCACUGGGCCUUAAGCCCCAGGGUUUUUAAGUAGGUCUCGGUGGGAUCUGAGCAUUUCUGGCUCCCUCAGGUUUCGGUGCUUGUUGAUGCCGCCCCAAGGACAACACUUUGAGGACCACAGCCCUAAAGGAGAUCCUGCGUAUCUUAAGGUGUUCCAGAUUCCAGCGAAGACAAGCAACCUGUUGAAAAAGGAAAAGCCAUCAGUUCUCGCAAUCCAGCUCUUCCACCCCGGCCUGCGUCAUGAGGUCUGCUAUGUUCUUCUCCAGGUCAUCAAUGCGACUGCUCAUGUCAUCGAUUCUUCCAAUGAUCUGGUCGGACAUGGUCUGAAAUUUAUCUUGCAUCUGUUGUAGGAGUGUCUGCACCACUGAGGUGAGAUCCUGCACGGUCUUGGGGUCAGUCUCAGCCAUCUCCCCGGUGCCCAGCUUGGCGGUGGCUGCCUCAGACCUUCACCUAUACUUCCGUUUCCAGAAUUUAUUUUAAAAGAGUCAGCUGGGAUACACUGUCCCUUGGAAACACAAUGUUUUAGCCACAUAUAUUUACAAAUACUUUAAAAGGGCACCCA